GACGAACGCUGGCGGCGUGCUUAACACAUGCAAGUCGAACGGAAAGGCCUGCUUUCCCUUGUGGAUUGCGGGUACUCGAGUGGCGAACGGGUGAGUAACACGUGAGUGAUCUGCCCCCAACUUGGGUAUAAGCCUGGGAAACUGGGUCUAAUUCCCGAUAGGACUGCAGGGUGGUGCCUGUGGUGGAAAACGAUUUUCUAGUGGUUGGGGAUGAGCUCGCGGCCUAUCAGCUUGUUGGUGGGGUAAUGGCCUACCAAGGCGGCGACGGGUAGCCGGCCUGGGAGGGUGGACGGCGACAUUGGGACUGAGAUACGGCCCAGACUCCGACGGGAGGCAGCAGUGGGGAAUAUUGCACAAUGGGCGGAAGCCUGAUGCAGCGACGCCGCGUGGGGGAUGACGGCCUUCGGGUUGUAAACUCCUUUCGACCGCGAGGAAGCCACCUGGUUGGAAGGGUGGUGACGGUAGUGGUAGAAGAAGCACCGGCUAACUACGUG
rnacentral:rRNA from 1 species